ACUGGGGGGCGCAUCUUUCCUACGGGGAGGCAGCAGUAGGGAAUCUUCCGCAAUGGGCGAAAGCCUGACGGAGCAACGCCGCGUGAGUGAUGAAAGGUUUCGGCUCGUAAAACUCUGUUAUUAGGGAAGAACAAACGUGUAAGUAACUGUGCACGUCUUGACGGUACCUAAUCAGAAAGCCACGGCUAACUACGUGCCAGCAGCCGCGGUAAUACGUAGGUGGCAAGCGUUAUCCGGAAUUAUUGGGCGUAAAGCGCGCGUAGGCGGUUUCUUAAGUCUGAUGUGAAAGCCCACGGCUCAACCGUGGAGGGUCAUUGGAAACUGGGAGACUUGAGUGCAGAAGAGGAAAGUGGAAUUCCAUGUGUAGCGGUGAAAUGCGCAGAGAUAUGGAGGAACACCAGUGGCGAAGGCGACUUUCUGGUCUGUAACUGACGCUGAUGUGCGAAAGCGUGGGGAUCAAACAGGAUUAGAUACCCUGGUAGUCCACGCCGUAAACGAUGAGUGCUAAGUGUUAGGGGGUUUCCGCCCCUUAGUGCUGCCAGCUAACGCAUUAAGCACCCCGCCUGGGAAUGCCAACCACCG
rnacentral:rRNA from 1 species